rnacentral:rRNA from 1 species
CGAGCGAACAGACGAGGAGCUUGCUCCUUUGACGUUAGCGGCGGACGGGUGAGUAACACGUAGGUAACCUACCUAUAAGACUGGGAUAACUUCGGGAAACCGGAGCUAAUACCGGAUAAUAUUUCGAACCGCAUGGUUCGAUAGUGAAAGAUGGCUUUGCUAUCACUUAUAGAUGGACCUGCGCCGUAUUAGCUAGUUGGUAAGGUAACGGCUUACCAAGGCAACGAUACGUAGCCGACCUGAGAGGGUGAUCGGCCACACUGGAACUGAGACACGGUCCAGACUCCUACGGGAGGCAGCAGUAGGGAAUCUUCCGCAUGGGCG